AUUGAACGCUGGCGGCAGGCCUAAAACAUGCAAGUCGAACGAAGUGGCGAACGGGUGAGUAACGCGUAAUCAACCUGCCCUUCAGAGGGGGACAACAGUGGGAAACGACUGCUAAUACCGCAUACUGAAGGACGGGGUUGCGUCGGAGUAGCUAGUUGGAGGGGUAACGGCCCACAAAUGCGAUGAUCAGUAGCCGGUCUGAGAGGAUGAUCAGUCACACUGGAACUGAGACACGGUCCAGACUCCUACGGGAGGCAGCAGUGGGGAAUAUUGGACAAUGGGCGAAAGCCUGAUCCAGCCAUGCCGCGUGUGUGAAGAAGGUCUUCGGAUUGUAAAGCACUUUAAGUUGGGAGGCGUUACCAACAGAAUAAGCACCGGCUAACUUCGUGCCAGCCGCCGCGGUAAUUC
rnacentral:rRNA from 1 species